rnacentral:rRNA from 1 species
UGGGGAAUUUUGGACAAUGGGCGCAAGCCUGAUCCAGCAAUGCCGCGUGCAGGAUGAAGGCCUUCGGGUUGUAAACUGCUUUUGUACGGAGCGAAAAGGUCUGCCCUAAUACGGUGGGCUCAUGACGGUACCGUAAGAAUAAGCACCGGCUAACUCCGCGCCAGCAGCCGCGGUAAUACGGAGGGUGCAAGCGUUAUCCGGAUUCACUGGGUUUAAAGGGUGCGUAGGUGGGUUGGUAAGUCAGUCGUGAAAGCCCCGGGCUUAACCUGGGAACUGCGAUUGUGACUGCAAGGCUAGAGUGUGUCAGAGGGGGGUGGAAUUCCACGUGUAGCAGUGAAAUGCGUAGAUAUGCGGAGGAACACCGAUGGCGAAGGCAAUCCCCUGGGCCUGCACUGACGCUCAUGCACGAAAGCGUGGGGAGCAAACA